CCUACGGGUGGCAGCAGUGAGGAAUAUUGGUCAAUGGGCGGAAGCCUGAACCAGCCAAGUCGCGUGAGGGAUUAAGGCCCUGCGGGUCGUAAACCUCUUUUGCCGGGGAGCAGUGGUCCGGACGCGUCCGGACCGGGAGAGUACCCGGGGAAAAAGCAUCGGCUAACUCCGUGCCAGCAGCCGCGGUAAUACGGAGGAUGCGAGCGUUAUCCGGUUUUAUUGGGUGUAAAGGGUUCGUAGGUGGCAUGUAAAGUCAGUUGUGAAAGGGGCAGGCUCAACCUGUGAAUGGCACUUGAUACUUGCAAGCUGGAAUGCGGUAGAGGUAAAGGGAAUUCGUGGUGUAGCGGUGAAAUGCUUAGAUAUCAGGAGGAACAUCGGUGGCGUAAGCGCUUUACCGGGCCGUAAUUGACGCUGAGGAACGAAAGCCAGGGUAGCAAAUGGGAUUAGAUACCCCUGUAGUC
rnacentral:rRNA from 1 species